rnacentral:misc_RNA from 1 species
GCGGCGGAAUCUGAUUUUGAUGGCAUAGGAUCACCUGCUUGAUUGUUGAAUGGACUCUGUUCUAUAAGCUCAUUUGGCUUUGGAUUAAACUUUAGUAGUCUUUCAAAAUCUUUAGCAUUGCCGGUAUCAAUGACCAAUUUAUUGAGUUUUUGCUCUUGUUGUAAUGCUUCUAGCUUUCGCUGUAGUGCUUCAUGCUCCGC